rnacentral:rRNA from 1 species
UUCCAGACUCCUACGGGAGGCAGCAGUGGGGAAUAUUGCACAAUGGGGGAAACCCUGAUGCAGCGACGCCGCGUGAGCGAAGAAGUAUUUCGGUAUGUAAAGCUCUAUCAGCAGGGAAGAAAAUGACGGUACCUGACUAAGAAGCCCCGGCUAAAUACGUGCCAGCAGCCGCGGUAAUACGUAUGGGGCAAGCGUUAUCCGGAUUUACUGGGUGUAAAGGGAGUGCAGGCGGCUUGGCAAGUCUGGAGUGAAAUGCCGGGGCCCAACCCCGGAACUGCUUUGGAAACUGUGCAGCUCGAGUGCAGGAGAGGUAAGCGGAAUUCCUAGGGUAGCGGUGAAAUGCGUAGAUAUUAGGAGGAACACCAGUGGCGAAGGCGGCUUACUGGACUGUAACUGACGUUGAGGCUCGAAAGCGUGGGGAGCAAACAGGAUUAGAUACCCUGGUACG